UACGUAGGGUGCGAGCGUUGUCCGGAAUUAUUGGGCGUAAAGGGCUCGUAGGCGGUCUGUCGCGUCGGGAGUGAAAACUCAGGGCUUAACCCUGAGCCUGCUUCCGAUACGGGCAGACUAGAGGUAUGCAGGGGAGAACGGAAUUCCUGGUGUAGCGGUGAAAUGCGCAGAUAUCAGGUGGAACACCGAUGGCGAAGGCAGUGAUCUGGGCCAGUACUGACGCUGAGGAGCGAAAGCGUGGGGAGCGAACAGG
rnacentral:rRNA from 1 species